rnacentral:lncRNA from 1 species
UAUUUCUGGUAGUAUAAAACAAAAUUUGUGCUGUAUUGCAAAACUUCGCUACACACAGUGAGACACGCAAAAACAAAAAUAGGUCAAAAGUUAUUCAUAUCAUUGUACCGUUGCAUUUUGAACAAUCUAAAAAGAAACAACAACACAACUAUACAAUAUUAAACAAAGACCAACCCGUGCUCUAGGUGGAUUUUGUACUAUGUGCGUGCAAUUUAUCUG